rnacentral:rRNA from 1 species
UAGGGAAUCUUCGGCAAUGGGGGCAACCCUGACCGAGCAACGCCGCGUGAGUGAAGAAGGUUUUCGGAUCGUAAAGCUCUGUUGUAAGAGAAGAACGUGUGUGAGAGUGGAAAGUUCACACAGUGACGGUAAUUUACCAGAAAGGGACGGCUAACUACGUGCCAG